CCUACGGGAGGCUGCAGUGGGGAAUAUUGGACAAUGGGGGGAACCCUGAUCCAGCGACGCCGCGUGAGUGAAGAAGUAUUUCGGUAUGUAAAGCCCUAUCAGCAGGGAAGAAAGAAAUGACGGUACCUGACUAAGAAGCCUCGGCUAACUACGUGCCAGCAGCCGCGGUAAUACGUAGGGGGCAAGCGUUCUCCGGAUUUACUGGGUGUAAAGGGAGCGUAGACGGCGAUGCAAGUCUGAAGUGAAAGGCGGGGGCCUAACCUCCGGACUGCUUUGGAAACUGUAUGGCUGGAGUGCAGGAGAGGUAAGUGGAAUUCCUAGUGUAGCGGUGAAAUGCGUAGAUAUUAGGAGGAACACCAGUGGCGAAGGCGGCUUACUGGACUGUAACUGACGUUGAGGCUCGAAAGCGUGGGGAGCAAACAGGAUUAGAUACCCUGGUAGUC
rnacentral:rRNA from 1 species